GACAAAUGAUACUAGAUGCAUAUUAUAGGGGCGUAAUGUGGUGAUUGAACAAAGUUGGGGUGCACCCAAAGUGACAAAAGAUGGCGUGACUGUUGCAAAAAGUAUUGAAUUCAAGGACAAGAUACAAAUUGUUGGUGCUAGCCUUGUAAAACAAGUCGCCAAUGCAACGAAUGAUGUUGCUGGUGAUGGUACCACUUGUGCAACAAUCCUCACCCGAGCAAUAUUUGCUGUAGGAUGCAAGUCAGUGGCAGCUGGUAUGAAUGCAAUGGACCUUAGACGGGGUAUUACCAUGGCUGUAGAUUCUGUUAUGACAAACCUGAAAAGCAGAGCACGGAUGAUCAGUACAUGAUAAGUUGUAAUACAACAUGCAUGUUUGUUCUCAAAAUGUUCGUAUUUUUGUUAGCAUGCAGAGAAAUAUCAAGACUUGUUCUCAAAGGGUUCAUUAUUUGGGAGAUUUCCCUAUUUCUUGCCUUGCCUUUGCAUAUCAGUUUUCGCCUUGGUUGUGGUUGUUGGUUCAUUUAGGAUUCCGAUAAAUCUAGCUAUAUGAUUAUGUUAAUUCCUUACGCGUCUUGUCAAGAUACAUACGGUUUCUGUUAAAUCUUAUUUUCGUUCAGGUUA